rnacentral:rRNA from 1 species
AUUGAACGCUGGCGGCAUGCUUUACACAUGCAAGUCGAACGGCAGCGCGGGCUUCGGCCUGGCGGCGAGUGGCGAACGGGUGAGUAAUACAUCGGAACGUGCCCAGUAGUGGGGGAUAGCUCGGCGAAAGCCGGAUUAAUACCGCAUACGACCCGAGGGUGAAAGCGGGGGAUCUUCGGACCUCGCGCUAUUGGAGCGGCCGAUGGCAGAUUAGCUAGUUGGUGGGGUAAAGGCCUACCAAGGCGACGAUCUGUAGCUGGUCUGAGAGGACGACCAGCCACACUGGGACUGAGACACGGCCCAGACUCCUACGGGAGGCAGCAGUGGGGAAUUUUGGACAAUGGGCGAAAGCCUGAUCCAGCAAUGCCGCGUGUGUGAUGAAGGCCUUCGGGUUGUAAAGCACUUUUGGCGGGAACGAAAAGGACUGUGCCAAUACCACGGUUCGAUGACGGUACCCGCAGAACAAGCACCGGCUAACUACGUG